GUGUCAGCCGCCGCGGUAAAACGUAGGAGACGAGCGUUAUCCGGAUUUACUGGGCGUAAAGCGCGUGCAGGCGGUUAGAUAAGUCACUUGUGAAAGCACCCGGCUCAACUGGGUGAGGCCAGGUGAGACUGUCUGACUUGAGAGAGGUAGAGGCGAAUGGAAUUCCGGGUGGAGUGGUGAAAUGCGUAGAGAUCCGGAGGAACACCAGUGGCGAAGGCGAUUCGCUGGGCCUUCUCUGACGCUCAGACGCGACAGCAUGGGGAGCGAACGGGAUUAGAAACCCCUGUAGUCC
rnacentral:rRNA from 1 species